rnacentral:rRNA from 1 species
UACAGAGGUCUCGAGCGUUGUUCGGAUUCAUUGGGCGUAAAGGGCGCGUAGGCGGCGGGGUAAGUCUGGUGUGAAAUCUCGGAGCUCAACUCCGAAAUUGCACUGGAUACUGCUCUGCUCGAGGGCUGGAGAGGAGAUCGGAAUUCACGGUGUAGCAGUGAAAUGCGUAGAUAUCGUGAGGAACACCAGUGGCGAAGGCGACUACCUGGCCUGUUCUUGACGCUGAGGCGCGAAAGCUAGGGGAGCAAACGGG